UAUAAAGUCUAACCUGCCCACUGAUAAUUAUUAAAGGGCCGCGGUAUUUUGACUGUGCAAAGGUAGCAUAAUCAUUUGUCUCUUAAUUGGAGGCUGGAAUGAAUGGUUGAAUGAAAUAUUAACUGUCUCAUUUUUAAAAUUUUAAAAACUUAGCUUUUAAGUCAAAAGGCUUAAAUGAAUUUAGAGGACGAGAAGACCCUAUAGAUCUUUAUAAUUUAUUUAAUUUUAUAAAAUAGAAAAAUAAUUAAUAAAAUUAAUAUAAUUAUUUUAUUGGGGUGAUAGGAAAAUUUAAUAAACUUUUUUUAUUUAUUAACAUUGAUUUAUGAUUAAUUGAUCCAUUUUUAGUGAUUAUAAGAUUAAGUUACCUUAGGGAUAACAGCGUAAUUUUUUUAGAGAGUUCUUAUCGAUAAAAAAGAUUGCGACCUCGAUGUUGAAUUAAAGGUUAUUUCUAGAUGUAGCAGUUUAGAGUUUAGG
rnacentral:rRNA from 4 species